AAGUUAAUUCAUGUAAUUAUAUCGAAAUUUUAAUAAAUCUUUUAUAGUCUAGCAUAGGUCUGCUGACCUUGAAAAACUAACAUAUAAUAUUUUGCUCUGUUACAUUACAAAGGCUAUUGAAUUAUAUUAUUAUACCUUUAUACAAACCAUAGUAGUUGAAAUCCUCAUUAUGAAAGAGUGUUGGCAUAAUUUGUAACGUAAAAUUAGGAAAAAAUUCAAGAGUACGUCGAAGCAUGCAGGAAAGAAUAACCGCGCGCCAAAACUGCUUCAGGAACAUGCUCGCGCAUCUCAAUUUCGAUUACUAAUCGAUCGAGAUUUCUUACCACGUAGAAAUAUAUAUACAAUUUUAACAUUUAUGAUACCUUAACAAAUGAAAUAAUCAUAGAAAUUGAAACAAAAAAUUAGUACAAAAUGUAUUUUUAUAAGAUUUCAACGUAAGAAGACAUUUAUUUACAGAACAAUCAUUAUCAAUUUCUUGUCGAUUAUUCAAUACUUCAUAUCUAUCGAUAGCUGCGCGCGCAACCAAUAUGAAUUGGAAUUAAUAAUGAAUCGAAAUUAAAUUAAAAUAAAAUUAUUUAUAAGAACUGACGACUCAGAAAAGUAACAGGGAAUUAUUAAAAUAUGUUGCAGCGAAUAUUAUGAGUUUAAAGGAAAAUAUCAAUAAAACAAGUUUUCGCGCCAAUAGAUCUCAUACCGAGCAUUCUGCGCGCGCAUCCAAUUUCAAUUAGUUUAAUUUACAAUUUCUAACAUAGUGGUAGUGUUCUUUGUCUUAUGCAAUUUUCUUGUUAUUUAUCAACAUUACGACGGAACUUGAAUUAUGCAGUCAUUGUAAAGGUAUCUUUUAGUGCAUGUAUAGAAGGAAAAUUAAGAAAUCUCCGCGGAACAGACGAUUCAGAACGAACUCCACAGAAAUACAGGGCUACGGAUCCAUAUAUUAUGACACAAGGAGAUAGACUGAACGAAAUCAAAAUGAACAAAUUCAAACCAUCUCGAACUUCAGAGUCGCGACAAAAGAAUUGCAUCUCUUACGGAUUGGACGCUUUGAAAAACGCGCGUCGAAGGAAAUAAGUAAGUAAACAUAAAAGAAAAGAAAUUAUUUUAUUUCGUUUAAACACGAAAUUUACUUCUUCCUAGUUUAAUUUGAAUUAUAAUUGAGAUUUUUUCAAACCAUACAAUAUAUAUAUAUAUAUAUAUAUAUUUUUAUAAUUAAUAUAUAAUAUUAAUUAUAUAUAAUAUAUUAAUUAAUAUAUAAUAUUAAUUAGUAUAUAUAUUAUAUAUAUAUAUAAUUUGUUGAAAAGAAAAUACACGAGGAUCAGUAAAGCCUGAAAGAAAUAUUGAAGGAAAAAUGAUUUAUCGAAAAUUUUUUUACAUGAUUUUAUAAUCCAUUCAAUACAAAAUGAUUCGUCCUUGUAUAAACUAAAUAGAGAGAUUUCUCGGGAAGAAUUAUCAGAAAUAAUUAUAUAGAGAAUACAAUUUCUAAAAGAUCCACUGAUUUUCUCUUCCUCUGUGUUUUAAUCCUACCUUUUCUUUUCUUUUUUGAACAUUUGUUAUUGCAUCGGUGAAUGCUUCAAUGAAGCUUGUUUAGAGAAUUUUAUGCUCUAUAUAUUUACUUGAAAAUAAUUUCCACGCAAAACUGUUUCGACAAAAAUCGACAAAAACGGGAGAUAUUCCAUCAAAAUAGGAUUUUGAGAAACAAGAACAACUGCAGAUCAACACGCAGAUCCGCGUCUCUUAAAGCUUUUUUUGUACAAUUAUGCGUCAAUUAGCACUUUUCUUCAACAACAAUAUUUAUUCCAUCGCUUUCACUUUUGAAUCACUAUCGAAUCUUGAUAUAUAUAUAUAUGUACAUAUAUAUAUAUUGAGAUCAUUCGAUAUUUCAAGUUUGAACUUCAAAGGAAAUGUCAUCUGUGUCCAAUGGUGGAAACAGAAGGGUACAACUUACAGAGAUUUAUAUCAUAAAUCAUGGACCACAAAAUUUCUGCUAAUUCGGUAAACAGGAAGGAAAAUCGUCACGAAUCUGUGCAGUUAAAAGUGACAAUCAAAGUAAUUCAUCGUUCAUGCUUCGCGCUCCAAUCUCGAACGCGUUUUUUGUUAUUUAUAUUUUACGAUUAUUACUCAUUACAGAUCUUAUAAUCGCUGUAGAUUAUCAACUAUCAAAGUUUAUACGAUACAUAAAACAUAUUCGCCUUUAUACCCUAUGAUUAGCAGGAAACAAGUUCAUAUAGGGUAUAUACAAUUGUGCAAUUUAACAUCAACGUGAAAUCUCGAAUUUAUAGAAUAGAAAAAGAAACGAAAAGAACUUUCCUUCUGGCAUCGUAAGCUAAUGAGAAAUUCAUGAUAUAGUAUUCCAUAUUACGCGACUAAAAGAUUAAAGACUAAUUCAGUUUUGUGAGUACACUUAUAAUCACAAGAAUUAUGUAAUGCCACAAAAAUUGUAUAAGAAAGUAAUUAGUUAAUUAUCCUUUCUCUUUUUCUUCUGUUCUUUGUUUGUGUUAAUACAAAGAAGUAACUUAUUUAAAUAUUGCAAUUUAAAUAUUAUAUAAUGUAUUGCGCUUUGAAUUUUCAUCACAUAUCACAAUGAUCAGAGUUUGAUAGAUAAAAGCGUAAAAAACAGGCCAUGAAUUUAAUUCCUCCCGCUCUGAUAAAUACUUUUUUUGUUAUUCAAUAUAUAGUUUUAUCAUUUUUUGAUAGACUUUUACAGUUUUACAUUCAAUUCUGCACAGAUUGAAUGGAUAAUGCCAUUCUAAUAUGUAUAAUAUAUAUUAUACCUAUUAAUUUGUGUACCCAAAACAUCGCUUUUGUGUCAUCAUUUAUCUUUUUUUUGUUUCUAUUUGUCUGUUAUCUUAAACACGCGUUAAAAAAUUUUGGUUUCUCGAAAGUUAGAUAUCAUUUUUUUUACUUGCACUAAGCACAUUAUAAUA